rnacentral:rRNA from 1 species
GGCAUGCCUGUCUGAGUCUCAUU